UGGGGAAUAUUGGACAAUGGGGGGAACACUGAUCCAGCCAUGCCGCGUGUGUGAAGAAGGCCGUAUGGUUGUAAAGCACUUUAAGCGAGGAGGAGGGUACUGGUAUUAAUACUACCAGCUACUGGACGUUACUCGCAGAAUAAGCACCGGCUAACUCUGUGCCAGCAGCCGCGGUAAUACAGAGGGUGCGAGCGUUAAUCGGAUUUACUGGGCGUAAAGCGUGCGUAGGCGGCUAAUUGAGUCGGAUGUGAAAUCCCCGAGCUUAACUUGGGAAUUGCAUUCGAUACUGGUUAGCUAGAGUGUGGGAGAGGAUGGUAGAAUUCCAGGUGUAGCGGUGAAAUGCGUAGAGAUCUGGAGGAAUACCGAUGGCGAAGGCAGCCAUCUGGCCUAACACUGACGCUGAGGUACGAAAGCAUGGGGAGCAAACAGG
rnacentral:rRNA from 1 species